AUGAACGCUAGCUACAGGCUUAACACAUGCAAGUCGAGGGGAAACGACAUCGAAAGCUUGCUUUUGAUGGGCGUCGACCGGCGCACGGGUGAGUAACGCGUAUCCAACCUGCCCACCACUUGGGGAUAACCUUGCGAAAGUAAGACUAAUACCCAAUGAUAUCUCUAGAAGGCAUCUGAAAGAGAUUAAAGAUUUAUCGGUGAUGGAUGGGGAUGCGUCUGAUUAGCUUGUUGGCGGGGUAACGGCCCACCAAGGCAACGAUCAGUAGGGGUUCUGAGAGGAAGGUCCCCCACAUUGGAACUGAGACACGGUCCAAACUCCUACGGGAGGCAGCAGUGAGGAAUAUUGGUCAAUGGACGAGAGUCUGAACCAGCCAAGUAGCGUGCAGGAUGACGGCCCUAUGGGUUGUAAACUGCUUUUAUAAGGGAAUAAAGUGAGUCUCGUGAGACUUUUUGCAUGUACCUUAUGAAUAAGGACCGGCUAAUUCCGUGCCAGCAGCCGCGGUAAUACGGAAGGUCCGGGCGUUAUCCGGAUUUAUUGGGUUUAAAGGGAGCGUAGGCCGGAGAUUAAGCGUGUUGUGAAAUGUAGACGCUCAACGUCUGCACUGCAGCGCGAACUGGUUUCCUUGAGUACGCACAAAGUGGGCGGAAUUCGUGGUGUAGCGGUGAAAUGCUUAGAUAUCACGAAGAACUCCGAUUGCGAAGGCAGCUCACUGGAGCGCAACUGACGCUGAAGCUCGAAAGUGCGGGUAUCGAACAGGAUUAGAUACCCUGGUAGUCCGCACGGUAAACGAUGGAUGCCCGCUGUUGGUCUGAAUAGGUCAGCGGCCAAGCGAAAGCAUUAAGCAUCCCACCUGGGGAGUACGCCGGCAACGGUGAAACUCAAAGGAAUUGACGGGGGCCCGCACAAGCGGAGGAACAUGUGGUUUAAUUCGAUGAUACGCGAGGAACCUUACCCGGGCUUGAAUUGCAGAGGAAGGAUUUGGAGACAAUGACGCCCUUCGGGGCCUCUGUGAAGGUGCUGCAUGGUUGUCGUCAGCUCGUGUCGUGAGAUGUUGGGUUAAGUCCCGCAACGAGCGCAACCCCUAUUUCUAGUUGCCAGCACGUUAAGGUGGGCACUCUGGAGAGACUGCCGGGGAUAACCCGGAGGAAGGUGGGGAUGACGUCAAAUCAUCAUGCCCUUUAUGACCUGGGCUACACACGUACUACAAUGGGUGUCAACAAAGAGAAGCGAAACCGCGAGGAAGAGCAAACCUCAAAAACACACCCCCAGUUCAGAUCGCAGGCUGCAACCCGCCUGCGUGAAGUAGGAAUCGCUAGUAAUCGCGGGUCAGCAUACCGCGGUGAAUACGUUCCCGGGCCUUGUACACACCGCCCGUCAAGCCAUGAAAGCCGGGGGCGCCUAAAGUCCGUGACCGUAAGGAGCGGCCUAGGGCGAAACUGGUAAUUGGGGCU
rnacentral:rRNA from 1 species